CUAUUCAGACCCAUUUCGUCUCAAACCUCGAGCAAAAUAGAAAUCUAAAAUCCCGCGCUCACUCCUUCUUCUACCCGAGCAUUCUUCUAUUUGGAUUUUGGAGAGAGAAAUCGUUGUUAAUUUCAUGAAAUCAGGGUUCGAAUUCGUUUGUUGAAGAGGAGGAAAAAGGAAAAUCGAUUUUUUUUUAGUUUCGUUUUACAAGCCCUAAAAAACCUUAGUUUCGGAAAUUAGGGCAAAGGAUUUCAAAUUUUGCUUGCUGUUUUGCGACAUAGGUUUUGCAAUCUAAGGGUUUCGUGUUGCGGGGGUGGUGUGUUUUGCUCAGGUCAAGGAGGUUUCAGAAGAUUGGAGUUGGGGUUCCCAUCUGCUGCAAAAGAAAUGAAUUGAUUGAUUUUGAGGAAAGAACAAGCGCAUAUGAGGAUGUCAACAUGACUACAUGGUAAAGAAUCUAAAGCCCGCCUUACACUCUCUCCCCUUUUUAUCAGUAUAUAUGCUUUGAAGGGUCCUUUAUAUAUGAUGCUGUGGAUUUCACUUCACAAAAGGCUGUUAAGAGUUUUGUAUCUUCGGGAUUCCUGUCAAUGGUA